rnacentral:lncRNA from 1 species
UUUGAUACUGAAAUUCAUCUUGAUGCGAUGGGUCUGGCAGACACCAUCAAAGACAAAAAUCAGGCAUCAAAUCAAGAUCGUGCCAAAGCAAUGAUAUUCCUACGCCAUCACCUUGACGAGGGCCUGAAAAUGGAAUAUCUUACUAUUACAUAUCCAGUCAUACGGUGGAAUAAUUUAAAAGAUAGAUAUGACCACUUGAAGAUGGUCGUUCUUCCACAGGAACGAUAUGAUUGGACUCAUCUAAGACUACAACAUUUUAAAUCCGCCAGUGAGUAUAAUUCUGCUAUGUUCAGAAUUAUUUCCCAAUUGAAAUUAUGUGGUGAUAAUAUGGACUCAUCUAAGGCUACAAGAUUUUAAAUCUAUAAGUGAGUAUAAUUCUGCUAUGGUUAGGAUUAUUUCCCAAUUGAAAUUAUAUGGUUAUAAUAUUACUGAUGAUGAUAUGUUGGAGAAAACUUUCACCACUUUUCAUGCCUUGAAUAUGCUCCUGCAGCAGCAGUAUCGAGAGAUGGGAUUUUAAAAAUAUUCUGAACUUAUCUCACAUCUUCUUGUAACUGAGCAAUAUAAUGGGCUAUUAAUGAAAGACCAUGAAAGCCGACCUACUGGUUCUUGUCCAUUCCCUGAAGUUGAAUGAGACGAACUUUGACCAAGCUAAACGUGGAAGAGUUUGUGACCCCAGUCAUGGUCAUAGCCAUGGUCGGGGAAGAAAUCCCAAUCAUGGUAAUAAUAAUGCACCAAAGAACCCUCCUCGCCACCAGCAUUGGAAAAGGAAGGAACAAAAGCAUGAAGCGAUGCAAGUACCAAAUGUAUAGAGUGCAUGCUAUAGAUGUGGAGGAAAAGAGCACUGGUCACGUACAUGUCGUACGCCAAAACACGUGGUUGAGCUUUAUCAAGCCUCCAUGAAGAAGACAGAGAGAAAUGCUGAAGCAAAUUUUAUUUCUGAAGAUAAUUUAGACUUCAUGCAUUUAGAUGUAGCUGAUUACUUUGCACUUCCAGAAGGAGAAACAAGUCAUGUAAUCGGUAGUGAAUCU